GCCUCCCCAGAACAGAGGAGAGACCACAGCUGUGCCUGGUGAAGCAGCUUUCAUCGGUAUAUCUGUUCCCAAAAGACAUUGAUGCUACCUCCAGGUUUCAGUGGAAGCUCUCCCCUCUAUUAGUCAUUCCUGCAUGUUUCUGCCAGUCACAUCCAGAUGAAUCCUUUUUUGUCCUGGAAUAGAUGAGCAGUCACGCAGAUGAGUUCCCUUUGAUUGAACACAGCACUCGGUAGGGAACAAGUCAAUGGUGUGACGCUCUUUUUCAGGAAUGCAGAGCUACAUUUCACCUCUGUUUCCCGUUUUUGGGACUGAAGAGACUCCAACAUGCGAUCAAUAAGCACCUUGGUGGCAGAGCCGAGCUGAAGCCUGAAGAGCUCCAGGUGGACAUUUGCAGACACCUUGCCAAAGAAAAUGCAGAACUGCUGGAGAACUUGUAUAGCACCACCAUCGCGUCCUUCAGUAGCAGCUGGGAAGGGAUCCGGGCAGGUGCCGCCAACUUAGCUGGCAUCAUCCUGGAACACACAGACACUCAGCGUAUGAAAUGGCUGGACCUGGAACAUCUGCUGAUGUCUCUCCGGGUCCUAGAGAAAGACCCAAGUCCCACUGUCCAGCUGGUGGCAACUGAGCUCAUAAGUGACAUCUGUCCUGGCCGAGCGCUUGGCGAAUGAAGCAGAACGGAGACAAACAGAACAAGGCGCUCCAGUGGUAUAAGGGCCCUACCAUCAAUCAAAUGUUAAUCCCACCCCUUGACCCCGGCAGCAAGAUGUGUCAUGUGACCCCUCCAAGGACUCCUCCCACUGCCAU